rnacentral:rRNA from 1 species
GACGAACGCUGGCGGCGUGCCUAAUACAUGCAAGUCGAACGCUUUGAUUUUCACCGGAGCUUGCUCCACCGAAAAUCAAAGAGUGGCGGACGGGUGAGUAACACGUGGGCAACCUGCCCAACAGAGGGGGAUAACACUUGGAAACAGGUGCUAAUACCGCAUAAUUUGUUUUUCCGCAUGGAAGAAUAAUAAAAGACGCUUCGGUGUCACUGUUGGAUGGGCCCGCGCUGCAUUAGUUAGUUGGUGGGGUAACGGCCUACCAAGACCAUGAUGCAUAGCCGACCUGAGAGGGUGAUCGGCCACACUGGGACUGAGACACGGCCCAGACUCCUACGGGAGGCAGCAGUAGGGAAUCUUCGGCAAUGGACGAAGGUCUGACCGAGCAACGCCGCGUGAGUGAAGAAGGUUUUCGGAUCGUAAAACUCUGUUGUUAGAGAAGAACAAGUGAGAGAGUUACUGUUCUCACCUUGACGGUAUCUAACCAGAAAGCCACGGCUAACUACGUGCCAGCAGCCGCGGUAAUACGUAGGUGGCAAGCGUUGUCCGGAUUUAUUGGGCGUAAAGCGAGCGCAGGCGGUUUCUUAAGUCUGAUGUGAAAGCCCUCGGCUCAACCGAGGAAGGUCAUUGGAAACUGGGGAACUUGAGUGCAGAAGAGGAGAGUGGAAUUCCAUGUGUAGCGGUGAAAUGCGUAGAUAUAUGGAGGAACACCAGUGGCGAAGGCGACUCUCUGGUCUGUAACUGACGCUGAGGCUCGAAAGCGUGGGGAGCAAACAGG